GAUGAACGCUGGCGGCGUGCUUAACACAUGCAAGUCGAACGAUGAAGCCCAGCUUGCUGGGUGGAUUAGUGGCGAACGGGUGAGUAACACGUGAGUAACCUGCCCUUAACUCUGGGAUAAGCCUGGGAAACUGGGUCUAAUACCGGAUAGGAGCGUCCACCGCAUGGUGGGUGUUGGAAAGAUUUAUCGGUUUUGGAUGGACUCGCGGCCUAUCAGCUUGUUGGUGAGGUAAUGGCUCACCAAGGCGACGACGGGUAGCCGGCCUGAGAGGGUGACCGGCCACACUGGGACUGAGACACGGCCCAGACUCCUACGGGAGGCAGCAGUGGGGAAUAUUGCACAAUGGGCGCAAGCCUGAUGCAGCGACGCCGCGUGAGGGAUGACGGCCUUCGGGUUGUAAGCCUCUUUCAGUAGGGAAGAAGCGAAAGUGACGGUACCUGCAGAAGAAGCACCGGCUAACUACGUG
rnacentral:rRNA from 1 species